GAUAACUGGCUUGUGGCAGCAAAGCGUUCAUAGCGACGUUGCCUUUUGAUCCUUGGACGGAGUAGGAUAGGAUAUUGAUAUGCAUGUUUAUCCCCGUGAAUGGGA
rnacentral:ncRNA from 1 species